GCCCAAGAGUUCAUAUCGACGGCGGUGUUUGGCACCUCGAUGUCGGCUCAUCACAUCCUGGGGCUGAAGUAGGUCCCAAGGGUAUGGCUGUUCGCCAUUUAAAGUGGUACGCGAGCUGGGUUUAGAACGUCGUGAGACAGUUCGGUCCCUAUCUGCCGUGGGCGUUGGAGGAUUGAGGGGGGUUGCUCCUAGUACGAGAGGACCGGAGUGAACGCACCGCUGGUGUUCGGGUUGUCAUGCCAAUGGCAUUGCCCGGUAGCUAAGUGCGGAAGAGAUAAGUGCUGAAAGCAUCUAAGCACGAAACUUGCCCCGAGAUGAGUUCUCCCUGACAUAGAGUCAGUAAGGGUUGUUGAAGACGACGACGUAGAUAGGUGGGGUGUGUAAGCGGUGUGAGCCGUUGAGCUAACCCAUACUAAUUGCCCGAGAGGCUUAACUAUACAACGCUGAAGGGUUUU
rnacentral:rRNA from 1 species